rnacentral:rRNA from 1 species
UACGGAGGGUGCAAGCGUUGCUCGGAAUUAUUGGGCGUAAAGGGUAGGUAGGUGGUCUCAUUUGUCUAGGGUGAAAGCCUUGAGCUUAACUCAAGAAGUGCCCUAGAAACGGUGAGACUAGAGUCCUGGAGAGGGUCGUGGAAUUCCCGGUGUAGCGGUGAAAUGCGUAGAUAUCUGGAGGAACACCGGUGGCGAAGGCGGCAUCCUGGACCGGUAUUGACGCUGAGGCGCGAAAGCCAGGGGAGCAAACGGG